CGGGGUUCAGAGAGCUGGGUGGGCGGCGGCUUGUGCGAGCCAUAGCGAGGUGGGCCCCGGGCAUCUUUGUGCAGUACCUGUGAGCCACGUUACUGUUUAUCUUGCAAAAGUUAACAAAUCUCUCUUAAGCCCGCACAGCGCUUGGGUGAGCCCGUCCAUUCGUCUUGACUUGAAUUGUAAGUGACUGCAAAUCUUUAUUUCCAGCCCAGCAAUCUCUCCUGAGCUGUCGAGUCGCUAUCCAUCUGCCCCUUUGGUUAUCGAUUUGGGAUUUACUCAUUCAACAUUUAUUGCACGUUCUCCGUGUACCAGGCAUCUUGCGCCCCCCCCCCCCAGCUCCCCCUACUGCUGUGUGACCUCAGCAAAGUGACUGACAGACUGCGGUGAAGCUUAAAUAGUGAAGGUAAGGCCCAGGGGCACAUGCUGCCCACUGCCCUGGGCUGGGUGGGACCCCUCUCCCAACGGGCCAUGCGUUUCCAGCCUGGGUGUGACUCUGGCAACGGGGCCUCGGGACAGCUGCCUCUCCACUGGCACAGCCGGUGCUGCAGCCCUGGGCACAUGGGUCUGGGAAGCUUUCCUGGACUCUGCCAGAGCCGGUCAGGCCACCCGGCUCUGGCUCGCACAGCCCCCAGACCCCCGAGGAAAUGCACAGGCGAGGGUCUGGAGAUGGGAUCAGGCCCCGCGUUAGGCUUUUCUCCCUCAAGGGCUCUGAACGGCCCUUUCCUCAACAUGUGUACCUGUGCUCUCUGAAUCCUCUUGAUAGUGCCCUUUCACAGAUGCGGAGACUGAGUCACUUGCUCUAGACCACAAACUCAAAAGUGACACAGCUGGUUUGGACUUUCAAGCUCAUGCUAUUAAAUACCUUGCCAAUUCAACGAGGGCGUCUUACCUGCUGUAGCCCUAAGUCUGACUGGGGAAACUGAGAACCAAAGAGGGGAAACUAUCCAUCUAAGGCCACACGCCCUGACUGACAGCAGAGGGAGGGCCAGAGCCUGGGCCUUCUGUGCUUUGAACACCUCCAAGGUACAGGCGUGCGCUCAUCUAAUGAGCACAUGAAUUCCAGGGGCAGGCGCGCCACAGUGUUCUACGGAUUCCAUAAUGCAUGUAUUUUCAGCUUUUAACAUCUCUGAAAUAGUUUCAACAGCAGCAAUGCUUUCUCAGUUUUAGGUCACGGAAACUACUUCUCAGUCAUUGGCAUCAGCCCAGUGGACAGAGGAGAAGACUGGCGGGGCAAGGCACAGCCCUGGGCCAACGCCACACGGCUAGUAAGCACUGGAGCUGGGAUUUGAACCCGGUUACGACAGAUUGCCAGAAAUGGCCAGGUUGCCUCCUUCCUUGGAUGCACACUCCGCUGCCUGGUGGCUUGGCCACUUCUCCCAGUGACAGCUGGAGUCUUUCUCAGCCCCCACCCGAAUCCGAACUGGCCUUGUGACUUGCUUGGACCCACAGACCAUGAGAGUUCGGAGAGUCCAGGCCUUGAGGGGCCCUGCAGCUUCCACUCCAGGAGGGGGUGCCUGAUACCAGUAUAGUCUCUGAAGGGGUAGGAGCCACAGAGAGCAGAGGUGGGACAGCCCAGGGACGCCCCCUGGACUGACCCUAUCCAAUAGGAUAGCGAUCUGGCCAUGAGGGGCUCUAUACAUUUAAUUAAAAUGAACGAAAAUGUAAGGUUCCAUUCCGCAGUCAUGCUGGCCCCAGCUGGAGCGCUCAGCAGCUACACGGGGCUAGCAGCCGUGGUGCUGGUCAGCGCGCACACGGGACACCAUCAUCAGCGCAGACAGCUCUGCUGGCCAGCGCUGCAGAAGCAAUCAGCUGGAAGCCAGACAGGUGCUGCUAGGAGCCUACCACCCGGCAGAGGCGACAUGGGUCCGGGAAGGCCUUCCAGCAAGGCAGGGGGUAACAUGAUGAGCACAAAGGAGGUGGCCUGAGGCUGAGCAGCUGUGGUCCAACAGACAGAAGGCUGGCACCGCCCUGCUGUGCUACUGUGGACCCAUUACUCACCUCUCUCCGAACAGUAACAGCCCCUUGCUAGUGUCUGUGCUCCCCUGGGGCUGCCUGUAGCCCUCUCCCGCAUCCCACAAAGCAGCCAGAGGGCCACGUGGCACACGCACUUGACACAGGCUACAGCUCUAUGCAAACACUUCUGUGGCUCCCUGCUGCCCCAACAGAGCCCAGGCACCCCCCCCAGCCCAGAGUCUUCUGGUCCCCACUGGCCUCUCUGCCCCACCUGACACCGCUGCCCACAGCUCCCCAUGGCUCCGGCUUUGGGGGCCUCCCUCCCCUCCUCUCGUGCCCAAGUGCCCUCUGGUCUUAGGGACCAGCCUGGAAUGCCUCCCACUCCUUUCAGGUCUCAGCUCAAAGGUCACCUCCUCCAGGGAGCCUCCCAGGCACCAUAGCCCCCUUCAUUUGCUUUUCUGUCGGUUCGAUCUGUAUUCUGUUCUUUGCCCUUGGAAUUCCUUGUCCUGUGCUGCCUCCCACAAGACGGCAAAGGUCCCAUCAGAAUUUGUCACCUCGGGCGCCUGGGUGGCUCAGUUGGUUAAGCAACUGCCUUCGGCUCAGGUCAUGAUCCUGG